AGAAGGGACAGAGAAGACCAAAAAAGCUACACCAACAUUCUAAAUCUACUUUAAGAACUAAAAGCAGGUCAUUUUAUUUUAGGCUAUUUUCCCCCCAUUGAUACCUGUUUUGCUCGAAGAGCAAGAAACCAAGAAAGAACAAGAGAACGGAAACAGGAUAUUCUUCCCUGCAGGUGGCUGCACCACCUACCUAAGCAAAGUGAUCACAUGGCUGGGACUAGGUGUGUGAUUGCAGCAGCUGAACCGUCUGAAGUGUGGCUCCAUCACACACAUACAAUGCUGAGAGGGUCCAGUGAAAGAGAGGGGUGAUGAUGAAGACCAAGAGAGAAGGACCUUACAUUUGCUGGUUGAUGUGGGACCCAAGAAG